rnacentral:rRNA from 1 species
UACGUAGGGUGCAAGCGUUGUUCGGAAUCAUUGGGCGUAAAGCGCGUGUAGGUGGUUCAGUAAGUCGGAUGUGAAAGCCCUCGGCUCAACCGGGGAAGUGCAUCCGAAACUACAUAGCUAGAGGACGGUAGAGGAAGGUGGAAUUCCUAGUGUAGAGGUGAAAUUCGUAGAUAUUAGGAGGAACACCAGUGGCGAAGGCGACACACUGGGCCAUUACUGACGCUGAGGCGCGAAAGCGUGGGGAGCAAACAGG